AGAGACGUUCUGAGGUGUGUCUGCUCUCACCCCACUGCCGCCUCGCUCCCAAGCCCCACAUCUCCAUGGAGGAGACCCCACGGGAAGCUGCCUCGGCGAUGCCCUGAGAAGCAGCGCCCAGCCGAGGCGUUUCACCCAACGCAAGUAGAGGGCUUGGCUAGGGAUGCUCACUUCCAGCUGGGAGCCCGAAUGGCUCUGCUCAGCUCCCACUCAGCUCGGGAGGGCCCGGCACACGCGUUUGAGCCCCAUGUUGGUUGAGUUGUACUGUCUGUUGCACUCGUCGACUGCGCUCAUGGCAAAGAUCUGCCUCCUGUUCCUUGCCAAGAGGAGUUUCCCUUCCCAGCGGUCCAACCUCGACCUGCUGGCCCUGAGAGGCAGGUUGUUGUUGGAGUUGUAAAUAAAGCCAGGAUCAUUUCUCUUA